ACACACAGGACACACACACACACACAGGACACACACACACACACAGGACACACACACACACACUCCUGUUAAUCAUAAGAAGACUAAAGAACAGAGAUGUUUCCAGUCUUUCCAGACCUUUCUGUGUCCCUGGAGGAAGGCAGAAGGCAGCGGGCUAAAGGAGGAUAAAUAUUUAAUCAGCGCUGCUCUGGAUGGAGGUUUUUGCUUAAUUAGAGGAAUUCUCUGCUCCUGCCACGAAAAUGAACCAAAAAAAUAAUAAUAAAAAAAUGACUCCUGGAGAUGUCAAAACCUCCCCUAAAAACAUCAAGAAGGAUGAUCAGAGACGGACAAAAAUACUAUUAUUUUUCAUAUUGAUGCUGCAAGGCCUUCUCUGUUUAAUCUAAAUUAAAGUCACAUAUUGUAUA